rnacentral:lncRNA from 1 species
GGAAAGGCAUGCCCCUGGGACAAAUUUCCUAGGCUCCGCAACAGGACACAGAGACUUGCUCACUGGUGGCAGAUCACUGGAACUUGAGACAGAAGACAACAGAAUGAGGGCUGCUGCUGUUGGUGUCUCGUCUGUCUUUUUCCUUUGCUGGCUGUAAAAGUUGCCGAGAUCCAACCGUGGAUCCACCACUCCCGAGUGAAGAAAUCCCACACUGAGACCAACACUGAAGGCCAGAAAAGACAAUGCACUCAAAGCUCUGCAACUGUCACUCCGGAGGCUGAUGGGCAAUGCACAGCUGAAGACUGAGGAUCGGCCUACAUGAAGGCACUGUUUGACUAGUGACGGCUGGCACCUUCACAAGUGGCACCCGAACAGGGACCUGAGCACAGAGGACAAGGUGAAGGACGCCGCCGGAUUGUGAGCUCAGAUAAG